rnacentral:rRNA from 1 species
UACGUAGGGGGCAAGCGUUGUCCGGAUUUAUUGGGCGUAAAGCGCGGGUAGGCGGCGCGGUAUGUCGUGCGUGAAAUCUCCCGGCUUAACUGGGAGGGGCCGUGCGAAACUGCCGGGCUUGAGGUCGGAAGGGGAAAGUGGAAUUCCGGGUGUAGUGGUGGAAUACGUAGAUAUCCGGAGGAACACCAGCGGCGAAGGCGGCUUUCUGGUCCGAUACUGACGCUGAGGUGCGAAAGCGUGGGGAGCGAUCCGG